AUAGGGAGAAGAGAGGUGUACAAGAGUUAGGAUGAAACUUUUUUCAGGAGGUAAAGGGAAAUUGCAUGUCACUGAGAUAAUAAGUGGGGGGAAGAGCACUGAGAAGGGCAUGGCAUGCUGAAACAGUUUGCCAGAUGUUCAAAUCCUAGUUCUGCCCCUGGAUGUGACAGAUAUUAGAUGUACAUGAUACCGAACUACAUUCUAUCAAUCAAUCCAAUAAUGUUGUGUGCUGCCAUUGAGUGCGUUGACGGUGAAUCAUUGCUUCCUUGGUAGUUCCACUGAUCGAUGCCAAUAAGAAAAGUUGGCGAAAACCAUGUACUGGCCGCUGCAUGCUGCAGCUCCCUCUCCGUGUCAUGCUCCACUCAAGAAAUUGAAAUGGUCUUGUCAUCUUCCUUUCUCUUGUUCAAAUCAUUCCAUCGCCACUGUAGAUUGCUGAAGAACAAUAGAUCUCGGCAAGUAUUGGAAAGUGUGUGAGAGAGAGAAGAUCGAGAGAGAGAGAGAGAGAGGAGAAGGAAAAGGCAGCUAGGGAUAUCUUACCGAUGACAAUGACAAGUGGUUGGCGUGCAUGUCUCUCAACUGCAUAUCUGCUCGUGCAAUUGAAUGGGGCAGCCUCAUGGAGCAUGAAGCGACUCUGUGAAGCGAGUUCAAUGAUCCCUGCUGGGGUAGACGAGUUGUCCAGUCAAGGAGCUGUCUGUGAAGCGAUUACAGCAGAGGAGAAGCAUAUCAAUUUUUAAUGCGCUAGUAUCCAGUUACUUUCGCAACUCAUUAGUAACAUAAUUAUUGCCUGCCCUGUGUAAUCUAUUUAUGUUAUAAAAAUUAGAACCGGACAAUAUCCUAGUACGUGCUCGUGAAGGAUAUUCAACAGUAAUUAAUUUGUCACUUUCUACAACUAGGGUUUGUUGAUUAACCCCGUGGUGUCGUUGCAGAUGGUCCCUGCCCGUAUUAUAUUGAUGAGCUGGGUUGUCUGACAAUGCUGCAUCUAUGACACUCAUAUCGAUCCCUGGCAGACAUGUGCUAGUCCAAUAUGGACUUAACUACUCUGUUGCAUAUACUCCCUCCGUUCCCAAAUACUGCUAUUUCUAGCAGAUUUCAGACAGAUUAUUGUGGCAAACAAAAGACCAUUCUACCC
rnacentral:lncRNA from 1 species